GAUGAACGCUAGCUACAGGCUUAACACAUGCAAGUCGAGGGGAAACGACAUCGAAAGCUUGCUUUUGAUGGGCGUCGACCGGCGCACGGGUGAGUAACGCGUAUCCAACCUGCCCACCACUUGGGGAUAACCUUGCGAAAGUAAGACUAAUACCCAAUGAUAUCUCUAGAAGACAUCUGAAAGAGAUUAAAGAUUUAUCGGUGAUGGAUGGGGAUGCGUCUGAUUAGCUUGUUGGCGGGGUAACGGCCCACCAAGGCUACGAUCAGUAGGGGUUCUGAGAGGAAGGUCCCCCACAUUGGAACUGAGACACGGUCCAAACUCCUACGGGAGGCAGCAGUGAGGAAUAUUGGUCAAUGGACGAGAGUCUGAACCAGCCAAGUAGCGUGCAGGAUGACGGCCCUAUGGGUUGUAAACUGCUUUUAUAAGGGAAUAAAGUGAGUCUCGUGAGACUUUUUGCAUGUACCUUAUGAAUAAGGACCGGCUAAUUCCGUGCCAGCCGCCGCCGUAA
rnacentral:rRNA from 1 species